rnacentral:rRNA from 1 species
UCUGGUUGAUCCUGCCGGAGGCCACCGCUAUUGGAAUCCGAUUUAGCCAUGCGAGUCUAAAGGUCUUCGGACCUUGGCGGACUGCUCAGUAACACGUGGACAAUCUGCCCUUGGGUGGGGAAUAACCUCGAGAAAUUGAGAAUAAUACCCCAUAGAUCCAGAAUGCUGGAAUGCAUCUGGGUUGAAAGUUCCGGCGCCCAAGGAUGAGUCUGCGGCCUAUCAGGUAGUAGUGAGUGUAACGGACUCACUAGCCGACAACGGGUACGGGCAUUGGGAGAUGGAGCCCGGAGAUGGACUCUGAGACACGAGUCCAGGCCCUACGGGGCGCAGCAGGCGCGAAAACUUCACAAUGCGGGAAACCGCGAUGAGGGGAUUCCAAGUGCUGCUACACUGUAGUAGCUGUUUACUUGCCUAAAAAGCAAGUAGAGUAAAGGCUGGGAAAGACUGGUGCCAGCCGCCGCGGUAAUACCAGCAGCCUGAGUGGUGGUCGGUUUUAUUGGGUCUAAAGCGUCCGUAGCCGGUCUGGUAAACCCCCGGGUAAAUCGUGUGGCUUAACCAUGCGAAUUCUGGGGAGACUGCCAGACUUGGGACUGGGAGAGGUCGGAGGUACUCCAGGGGUAGGGGUGAAAUCCUGUAAUCCUUGGGGGACCACCAGUGGCGAAGGCGUCCGACUAGAACGGGUCCGACGGUGAGGGACGAAGCCCUGGGGCACAAACCGGAUUAGAUACCCGGGUAGUCCAGGGUGUAAACGCUGCAGGCUUUGUGUUGGGGGUCCUACGAGGGCGUCCAGUGCCGGAGAGAAGUUGUUAAGCCUGCCACCUGGGGAGUACGGUCGCAAGACUGAAACUUAAAGGAAUUGGCGGGGGAGCACUACAACGGGUGGAGCGUGCGGUUUAAUUGGAUUCAACGCCGGAAAACUCACCGGGGGCGACCCUUACAUGAAGGCCAACCUGACGAGUUUGCCUGAUUUUGGGAGAGGUGGUGCAUGGCCGCCGUCAGUUCGUACCGCAAGGCGUUCUGUUAAGUCAGAUAACGAACGAGACCCCCGCCUCUAAUUGCCAGCUUCUCCUCCGGGAGGAGGGAACAUUAGAGGUACCGCUGGUGCAAAAUCAGAGGAAGGAGGGGGCAACGGUAGGUCAGUAUGCCCCGAAUCCCCCGGGCGACACGCGCGCUACAAAGGACAGGACAAAGGGUUCCGACAUCGAAAGAUGGAGGUAAUCCCCAAACCUGUUCAUAGUCCGAAUUGAGGGCUGUAACCCGCCCUCAUGAAGCUGGAAUCCGUAGUAAUCGUCCGACAACAUCGGACGGUGAAUAUGCCCCUGCUCCUUGCACACACCGCCCGUCAAACCAUCUGAGUUGGGUCGAGAUGAGGGCAUCUCUUAUUGUGAUGUUCGAAUCUGGGUUCAGCAAGGAGGGUUAAGUCGUAACAAGGUA